ACGGAAGGCAGCAGUAGGGAAUCUUCCACAAUGGACGAAAGUCUGAUGGAGCAAUGCCGCGUGAGUGAAGAAGGUUUUCGGAUCGUAAAACUCUGUUGUAAGGGAAGAACAAGUACAGUAGUAACUGGCUGUACCUUGACGGUACCUUAUUAGAAAGCCACGGCUAACUACGUGCCAGCAGCCGCGGUAAUACGUAGGUGGCAAGCGUUGUCCGGAAUUAUUGGGCGUAAAGCGCGCGCAGGUGGUUUCUUAAGUCUGAUGGGAAAGCCCACGGCUCAACCGUGGAGGGUCAUUGGAAACUGGGAAACUUGAGUGCAGAAGAGGAUAGUGGAAUUCCAAGUGUAGCGGUGAAAUGCGUAGAGAUUUGGAGGAACACCAGUGGCGAAGGCGACUAUCUGGUCUGUAACUGACACUGAGGCGCGAAAGCGUGGGGAGCAAACAGGAUUAGAUACCCUGGUA
rnacentral:rRNA from 1 species